GCGUGGAUUUGCCUGUUUAUCCCUGGUGUCAUUUAGCUUGUUCCUCUGCUUUUGGUAUAUCCGGUAAACUGGAAGUAGUUUGGCAGCUGGCUGGGUCCAGGGUCCGCGUUUUUGGCAGUUGAGAAACUUGAGGCACGUGGCCAGACCUUGUAUAUGGAGACACAGAGAGUUGUGUGGAGUGCAAAUCCUACCCCUGAUUGGAGGAAUUCAGACAUCCACCCUGCCUUCAACAGUUGACUUGAUGACUACUGGGCAUGGAGAGCAGGCCAGAAGCCUUGGAAAAUCUCCAGCAAAUGGAUCUGCUCACUCAAGGCUCGUUGGCCACGUGGUCCAGAUCCGGGGAUGAGACCAGGUGAUAAACUCGGCUGGAGCAGCCCUUUGCCCACCGUCCCCCUCC